GAAAAUCUAUUCACUGCAUCAUAUUGGUAACAAACUACAAAGCCAGUUGCCGUCUUGAUUUCUGUAGUGUCAGGGAAUCAGAGGGACGAUUUCAUAUUGGAAGAAGUCUCCAGCGAGGAAAUCUAAAGGAGGAAUGAUAAAAAAAAAAUGGAUGAAGAACAUGUGAUGAGGCUGAUCGACAUGAUGACCCAAAUGCAAGAGAGCAUGGUGAGGAUGAACAAAGAUUUAGCCAAUUUUAUAAAAAGAAUAGAUGAAAUUGAAGAAUGGAAGAAGCAAACCGAAAGACAGCUGACUGAAAUCAACAUGAAAGGUCAGACACUCACUCAGUGGGCGGGGUCGGGUUUUGGGUCCCAUUUUGGAACCCAGGUCCAUCCGCCCAACUUUAAUGUUGAUCAUAGGCCGAACCAGGAUGGAUUUCCCAACUCCAUUCAGGCCGAUUUGGUGCCUGUGGGACCGGCUUUUAGAUUUCCAAACCUGAAUUUAGAGUCUCAACCACUCCUUGGAACCGCCCACAGUAGUUCGAGCUCAGGCUUACCCCUGAACUCGACCCCAAUCACAUUCACGUCCAGACACGCAAUCCCUAAACUCCCUAGACAAAAAUCAGAUCCCAACAGUAACCCUGACUUGCUUUAAGCUGGUCCAAAACCAGGCCCUACAUGCUAUGGACCGCCCACGUUGGUCCACAUCUCCCGUAGGGCUCGAUUCGAUGACUCACCUAUCCUUAUUGAGAUCCGACAAGUAGUUUAGGGAACCUGAGGUACAACCCCUCGGGCUAUCAAUCUAUGCAUCAUCCCUACCUGCAACUUCAAUGUCUCCAGGGCCACCCAUCUCACCCGCAAUGAAACCCCAAUUAUUUUACUAAACCCCACCAAGCCCUGCGCACUGACCCUAGACCAAUCCAGAACUCGCAAACUACCACUAAACUAUAGACCACACCACAUCAAAUGCAACCAGUGGCACAACAAGCACCUCCUAGGCCGCCUGGGCCGGUCCCUCCCUUUUAGCAAGCAUAGCAAAGGCAACCCUAGGGGAAUCAAUUGCAGCAAGGGCGGGCUCAUCAAGAGCUCCCGCCGGUGAGAGCAGACGGUCGGCUUCUUCAUCAGCACACCAAUCGAUGUGAUGACAUAUCUAAGUUUGCAGAUUCUGGGGAUGAGGCAUUUUGGCACAACACCCGCACGGACUAAUUGAUCGAUAUCGACAAUCAGGAGGACGUGGAUAGGAGAAGCCCUCUACACAUAGCCUCAAGCUGGAUUUGCCUGAGUUCACAGGCAAAUUUGACUCCGAGGCAUUCUUCCAUUCGACAUACGUGAUUCAAUCUGCCUUGGCUAUCAUGACGUUUCGGAGCACAGGCGCGUUCCCUUGGCAUCUACCAAAUUGAGGGGCCUUCACAGUCUUGCUGCAGAAUGCUCGGACAUGACAGGGGCAAGAUAACUUUUUCACAUAGCUAGCUAUGCAAUGUUUGACACAAACUUAAGUUAAUUCCCUCCGACUUUGCUGAGAGGGAGUAAAAGGAAUAGCUCUAGCUUCGUAAGGGAUCAAUGACUGUUUCAGAAUAGACUUACGAGUUCCACUGUCUUUCAUUACAUGCACAGCUUGUAGAGACUGAGAAUCAGCAUGUCACCAGCAGAACGGAGAUGCCAGCAUCCACCAUGACACAACAUAUGAAAAUAAGCAGGUUUGGCUGGAAAGUAAAAGGGCUUGGGACCAUGACUAUAUAUCAGCAAAAGCAUGUGAGAGUUGGCUGGAAGCAGAAGCAUGGCAUUGUUUGAAGGGAGAUUAAGGCUAAUGAAUGGAGUACUUUUCUCUCUCCAAGACUCACGGCUGCAACAUGGUAUCAGUCUAUCAGAGCCUUCUCCUGCGGCAACAGUCAAGCGUGAUGAUAGUGGAGUUACUGAAAAGGGCUGGAUGAUGUUCUACCGAUGUUGUGUGAGGAGACUUAAAGCAGCAGCAGGCAGUGGGAAGCAGCAGAAAGCAGAGAUUCUGUCGAUAGGAGACUGAAAACAGCAGCAGUUUCAGUUUUCUGUCUCCUAAAUGGCAGAAAGCAGAAACUAGCAGGUGUAAUCACAGAAACUAGCAGUUCUGGAUUAGUUUCUGCUGUCAUGAGGUUUAUGUUAGUAGGUGGACAGCAUUGUUACAGCAUUCUUCUGUCGUGGGUCUGCUGUGGAGGACUUGCAAACUGGGAAGACGAUUGGUGGUAGCUAUGAGAAAGGGGCCAUCUACUUCCUGUCUGAUCCAGUGGGUAUUGCAGCAUCAUCGAUCACCUCGUUGUCCUCCUCCUUCUAGUGGCAUCUCAGACUUGGUCAUCCAUCUGUCUCCAAGCUCCGUCAUCUUCUUCCACAUCUUUCAGUACCAGAGUCGUUCCAGUGUGAAGCAUGUCAACUUGGCAAACACACCCGUAGCAGUUAUUCAUCGAGUUUUAGUCCGUCCAGUUGUGGACUAUUUGAUCUUCUUCAUGUUGAUGUGUAGGGUCCUAGCAGAGUUGCUAGUAGGUCAAGAUUUCGUUAUUUCCUUGUCAUUGUUGAUGAUUAUUCUGGAGUCACUUGGGUCUUCCUUUUGAAGGAAAGGUCUGAAGUCGUAUGUACUCUCAAAAACCUUAUUAUUGAAAUAAAGACCUAGUUUGGUAUUUUUGUUAAAAGCAUUCGCAUUGAUAAUGCUUUUGAGUUCAAGGCAUCUACCUUAAUGAAGUUUUACUCUAAUAAUGGCAUUUCUCCUCAGUUUACAUGUCCCCAUACCUCCCAGCAAAAUGGAAUAGCUGAGCGAAAACAUCGCCAACUUUUAAAUGUGCUCGUUCCGUUAUGCUUCAUACUAAUCUACGUGUAUAUUUUUUGGAGAUGCCAUUCUCACUUCUUGUUACUUGACCAAUCGUUUACCUUCAUCCUCCAUUGACAACCAGGUUCCCAUUAAAAUUGUGCACCCACAAAAACCCUUGUUUCCAAUGGCUCCCAAAGUAUUUGGUUGCACAUGCUUUGUUCACAUACUUGGACCCACACGUGAUAAAUUAGAGGCCCAAGCCAUUAAAUGUAUCUUUAUUGGCUACUCCAGAAACCAUAAAGGCUACAAAUGCUUUGAUCCCUUGACUCAAAAAGAGUAUAUCAGUGCAGAUGUCACAUUUUUUGAAUCUCAGCCUUAUUAUAGCUCCACUCAUAUCACUACUGAGAUGCCACGGUCACCAGACCCACUACCUAUUCCUCAUAUUCCUUUGGAGUCAUUCCCUUUUGAAUCUCCUUAUAAAGACUCUCCGGCUGUAGUGUCCAAGUUUCGUGAUCCUCCGCUGGUCUACACGCAUCGACAUGACCCUUCUCAUGAUCCUUCGCCAACCGCUUCUCAGGAGGUAAGUUCAUCUUAAGUGAGUAGCCUUAGUCCGUCUGAUCCUGUCAAGACUUACCUAUUGCUCUUCGCAAAGGCAAGCGACAAUGUACU